rnacentral:rRNA from 1 species
UACCAGCACCCCGAGUGGUCGGGACGAUUAUUGGGCCUAAAGCAUCCGUAGCCGGUUUUACAAGUCCUCCGUUAAAUCCAGCUGCUUAACAGAUGGGCUGCGGAAGAUACUACAAGACUAGGAGGCGGGAGAGGCAAGCGGUACUCAGUGGGUAGGGGUAAAAUCCUCUGAUCCAUUGAAGACCACCAGUGGCGAAGGCGGCUUGCCAGAACGCGCUCGACGGUGAGGGAUGAAAGCUGGGGGAGCAAACCGGG